UUGCUAUCUGCGAUAUGGAAGAUUCGAACCUGCCGCAGGUUCGGGUCUCACGUAGUGAGACAACGGAGCCGCUUGCGGCGACGGCCCGAAGGGCGAGCAAAGCGAGUCAUCCUGUACGACCCACCA
rnacentral:sRNA from 1 species